AACGAACGCUGGCGGCAUGCCUAACACAUGCAAGUCGAACGAGACCUUCGGGUCUAGUGGCGCACGGGUGCGUAACGCGUGGGAACCUGCCUUUAGGUUCGGAAUAACUCAGAGAAAUUUGAGCUAAUACCGGAUGAUGUCUUCGGACCAAAGAUUUAUCGCCUUUAGAUGGGCCCGCGUUGGAUUAGCUGGUUGGUGGGGUAAAGGCCUACCAAGGCGACGAUCCAUAGCUGGUCUGAGAGGAUGAUCAGCCACACUGGGACUGGGACACGGCCCAGACUCCUACGGGAGGCAGCAGUGGGGAAUAUUGGACAAUGGGCGAAGGCCUGAUCCAGCAAUGCCGCGUGAGUGAUGAAGGCCUUAGGGUUGUAAAGCUCUUUUACCCGAGAUGAUAAUGACAGUAUCGGGAGAAUAAGCUCCGGCUAACUCCGUG
rnacentral:rRNA from 1 species